rnacentral:lncRNA from 1 species
GCAAGAACUUUAAUAAGGAAUGGGGGAAAGCUACUUUGGAGAACAACUAAAAACAUUGGCAGGACUGUUAUAACGCUCAUAUUGUAGCAAGAAUUAUGGUAAGAAUAGUGUUUUAAGAAAAAAAUGGAAGACUUUAUAAGAUGUAUAAAGAGCAAUUAGGUUCUUUUAGAUCUGUUUAGGUGUUUAACAUAGAUGAAACGUAGGCUACUCUAGGAGAGCACAACACAACAGACAACCAAUAUUGGAUUUCCUCUAUAGUACUACUUUAUUGAUUACCAUGGAAUACAUUUAACAAGACAGAGGGACAUGCACUCAGUCACUCUCUCUCUCUCUCUCUCUCUCUCUCACACACACACACACUCAAAACUGGAGAGUCUCGCCUUGUAUACUUUCCUUGUUGUUCAUCUGAAUCUUCGCAUUCUUUCGUCCUUGGCAUGGUAUUUUACAACUCUUAUUAUUUGAAACUGAUGUUGUGUAGCUUUUGGCAUAUCACAACUCUUACUGUUCAAAACUGAUGUUGUAUAGCCGGUCUUCAUGCCUCCUUGCAUGUACCGUUCCCAACAUACUGCUUUGGCCAGAACAUGCACAUUCCAUUAGCUCUUUGAUCAACGCAGUUCACUGAUCAACUGCAUCCAUUUUGUGGUGUUCUUCAGCCAUCUUAGGCCCAUACAAACCAUGCCAUUCAUUACAUAUUCCCUCUCUUGAUGUGUAAAUUUAUUUAUACUUCACUUUAAAAUCAAUAUGCAAAUAUUCUAAGACAGAAUUCAAUCGUGUCUGCAGAUUCUUUAAGCAUUUAAGGAAAAUGCAUAUCCAAUUACACUGAAUAAUAUCAACAGAAUAAUCACAAUAGGGUGUUUCAAUAGAUGUAAGAAAGCAGACGUCUUUGGAGAAUAGCCUUUAAAUAUAUCUCACAAAUGAUAUUCAGUAAAGCUAGAUUCUUCAUCAGCAAUUUGUUGAAAUUUUCCAUUUUCAUAUUGUAUUUUUAGAAAUGCCAUUUUUGUAUUCUAAGCAUGUUGUUCCAAGUGUUUUCGUAUUUGAUCAUUAUGCAAAAACAAUGUCAUUAACUUCUGAUAGUCUGGUCCUAUAGAAACUGUGUAGGUUUAAUGGCAAAUACACAGAAUCCUUAAUCGUUUCCGACACAAUAUUUCCAGUUCUCAAAUUUUGCACAUAGGUUAUGUAGAUUUCCCAACAUCACUACAGGUUACAUUUGCAUCCCUGAUGUUUAUCAAUUCCAGUGAGAGUUCCAUCUGACCACAAUUCAGGGUCCACAGUAGUAACAUGUAAGCAUCCAAUCCCAGUAUCUUAAAUAAAAGUAUCAUUACUCAUCUUUUGUAAUUGACAGAUUCCAUCACUAACAUCAAACACACAAGGUUCACUUUGUCCAAAAUGUGGUGAGCAAACAUAUCCUUUCCCCCAUUUUUCACACCUAGAGAUUUCAAUCAUAACAUUAUCCUUAUGAUUCAAAACAUUAGAACAUAACAACUUAUGAGAAAGAAAAUAAGGAACCCAAAAUAUAUCAUUAACAAUAAUAGGUAAAAGUGUAACAUCACACAUCAUAGAUAUUGUGGUAUUAUGUAUUCCACUGUGUUCAAGUGAUGAUAAUUCUACUUUCCAUACAUCAUUAAUAAUCAGAUAAUCAGUUAAUCUAAACCACUCAGAAUAAUCCUUAUGCAGUAUACUUUCAAGAUUUCCUUUAAAAAAUAUAUAUAUUAGAAAUUUCAACACAAUAGUUUCAACAAAAAUACAUCCUCCACAUUGUCCCCCCCCAUUCCCCCUCUAAACAGAACACCCCCCCUCCCACCCCACUCCCAGACUUCCCUCAGCUCCUUUCGCUGGUUUCUCAACACAUAUUUUUAUCUGCAUGUUAUAAAAUUGUAAAAAUCCUCAAAUUAUCUAUCUAGUUUGUGAAUAUUUAUUCAAAACCUGCCAAAGAGUCCAGUUCAUUUUGUUGUUUCUUCAAAUAUUUCAUAAAAGGUUCCCAUUCGUCUUUGAAAUCACAAUUAUCCCCACGCUGGAGGAAUGGCAGAUGAAACUGAUGGACUAUAUGGAACUGGCGGAAAUGACUGGCAGAAUCCGUGACCAGGGAGAAGAGUUGGUGGAGGAAGAUUGGAAGAAAUUCAAAGAUUAUCUUCAGAAACAUUGCAAAAUUAAAGAAUGUUAGAGUGAUGUUGUAUCAAAAAUAAGUGG